GGUGCGCUGAGACUCUGCUGAAAAUACUCGGCAACUGCGUACUUGCUAGAAACAAGAACGCAAAGGCUCUCUAUCACUUUUGGUUGAGAGCAGAGAUAAGUGUGAACCAGUAAUGGUCGAGGAGUGGGAAGGCAGAAGCGCAUGGACGGAGUGGAAGGAAGUGACGGACAAAUUGCAACACAAUCCUCUGUUUAUACUGUGAUCCAAGGCUGCAGGACACCAAGGUGAAAGAUGAAGCUGAUUAGUAGUGAUGCGAUGAAGUGGAGGCUCCUCUGGCGUCUUGCCUCCGCUAAUUGCGAGACUUGAGGAGGUACUAUUCUGACUUCAUGGAAUGGAUAACGACAGAAAAUGAGGGUAAAGAUAAAUUUGCGACAAGUUUCAUUGUGCACAAAUACCAAAACAAUAAUAAAAAAGAAAAGCUUUAUGAAAAAAAAAACGAGUAGAAUAGACUAAAGAACGAAAGCAAAUACUAAUCAUAAUGAAUGUUGCAAAACGAAUGUGUGAUCUCGAUUGUGCAGAUUUAGUGAUACAAGAAAAGUGUGUAAUUUUGGUGCACAACUAGUAUUACAAAAUGCAAAACGGAUGUGCCACUCCCUGCUGUGUAGAAAUAUAGUGUUACAAGAUCCUAUACACACAGCUGGUGUUUAAGGUUGGACUGUUGCUGCCCUGUGCUUAGGCAGGACGGGGCUUACCUCUGCGCUUCCCAAUACAGACAGUUCCUACACUCUGCUUGCAUUUUCGAUUUUGAAAUGAGAGAGUUUAAGCACGAAGGUGGAAGUUUGAAGUGGCUUGUUUGUCCUGAAGCAGACUCAACCUGGCUACAGUGGCGGGACGUGCCUUGGGUGGCAGCCUCGCAAACUCGUCUCCGCCUCCUCCAGCUCCUGCUUCUCGUAAAGAGCGCGUGUCGGAGGGAGGGAUUGCUAGGAGAGGCUUGACCUCAUCCUGACUUUCACACUGGAGUCAGAUCAUCCAGACCUGAAUGCGUCCCCGUAAGGUCUGUCAGAGCGUCGUGUCUGUAUCAUCACCGUCUUAUUUUAUCUUGUCGGGAUGUGAGGAAAGUAAUGAAGCGAGAAGACCCUUCACUGAGUCCUGCUCGUGUGGUGGAAGGAGCCGCCGGUCACUCCGGGAGCUGUAUUGAUGGCCAGCCUGGAGCGCCGGAGUGGAAGGGCCGUUGGAGUGUGUCUUCAAGAGAGAGAGAGAGAGAGAGAGAGAGAGAGAGAGAGAGAGAGAGAGAGAGAGAGAGAGAGAGAGAGAGAGAGAGAGAGAGAGAGAGAGAGAGA